UGACAGUAAAGGGAUGAGCUUGAGUAGAAAGUCGAGUGUGGUGAGGGCGUGGGAGGGGGGAGAGGGAUGCAGUUAGCAAGUUCAGAAGAGCGGUCAGCCACAUAUUCCCCCCCCAGAGUCUCCCGUCCCAUCCCAACAACCCAUCCCUCCCUCCUCCUCUCAGUGCCAGCCACAUUCUCCCCUCCCAGAGUCUCUCGUCCCAUCCCAACAACCCAUCCCUCCCUCCUCCCCUCAGUGCCAGCCACAUUCUCCCCUCCCAGAGUCUCCCGUCCCAUCCCAACAACCCAUCCCUCCCUCCUCUCCUCAGUGCCAGCCACAUUCUCCCCUCCCAGAGUCUCUCGUCCCAUCCCAACAACCCAUCCCUCCCUCCUCCCCUCAGUGCCAGCCACAUUCUCCCCUCCCAAAGCCUCCCGUCCCAUCCGAACAACCCAUCCCUCCCUCCUCUCCUCUGCAGUCCACCUCCAGUCAGCCUGAUCAGCCCUGGGGAGCCUGACUGCUCCAUCAUCUUCAGUCACCCAGGAUGUGAAGAACAAACUACAGAGCAUGUGGUGUGUGCUGGGAUGCCUUGCAGGAGAUCACGCUGGGAUACGAAGCCGCCCCUCAAGAGAUGGAGUCCAUUCAGCUGUUCAAUUCUGCCGAGGGAAAAGAAUCAUUCAACUCUGAAGACUGCCAUGGAUUCUUAUGUAUUAGCUAGCGAGAUGUGAACUUUCUAUCUCGUGAAAAUAAAGUUCAGGGACGUA